AUGCAAGUCGAACGGGACUUUUCCGAGUAGCAAUACCUGGGAAAGUUUAGUGGCGAACGGGUGCGUAACACGUGGGGAAUCUGCCGAGAAGUGGGGGAUAGCUCGUCGAAAGGCGAAUUAAUACCGCAUAUGAUCAGGGAAGACAUCUUUCCAACAUCAAAGCCGGGGCAACCUGGCGCUUCUUGAUGACCCCGCGGCCUAUCAGCUAGUUGGUGAGGUAACGGCCCACCAAGGCUUUGACGGGUAGCUGGUCUGAGAGGACGACCAGUCACACUGGAACUGAGACACGGUCCAGACACCUACGGGUGGCAGCAGUCGAGAAUUUUUCUCAAUGGGGGCAACCCUGAAGGAGCGACGCCGCGUGGAGGAUGAAGGCUUUCGGGUUGUAAACUCCUGUCAUUUGAGAACAAGUGCCAACAAGUAACUACUGUUGGCUUGAUAGUAUCAGAAGAGGAAGGGACGGCUAACUCUGUGCCAGCAGCCGCGGUAAUACAGAGGUCCCAAGCGUUGUUCGGAUUCAUUGGGCGUAAAGGGUGCGUAGGUGGCGUGGUAAGUCGGGUGUGAAAUUUCGGAGCUUAACUCCGAAACUGCAUUCGAUACUGCCGUGCUUGAGGACUGGAGAGGAGACUGGAAUUUACGGUGUAGCAGUGAAAUGCGUAGAGAUCGUAAGGAAGACCAGUGGCGAAGGCGGGUCUCUGGACAGUUCCUGACACUGAGGCACGAAGGCUAGGGGAGCAAACGGGAUUAGAUACCCCGGUAGUCCUAGCAGUAAACGGUGCACGUUUGGUGUGGGAGGAUUCGACCCCUUCCGCGCCGGAGCUAACGCGUUAAACGUGCCGCCUGGGGAGUACGGUCGCAAGAUUAAAACUCAAAGAAAUUGACGGGGGCCCGCACAAGCGGUGGAGUAUGUGGCUUAAUUCGAUGCAACGCGAAGAACCUUACCUGGCCUUGACAUGCAUCUCUAACCCGGUGAAAGCCGGCGAGUGUCGAAAGACACAAUUUGCACAGGUGCUGCAUGGCUGUCG
rnacentral:rRNA from 1 species